AACGCACAUUGCGCCCUAUGGUACCCCAUAGGGCAUGCCUGUUCGAGCGUCUAUAGGGGAAUCGUGCCACAUGGUGUUGGGCGUGGGUGCCGUGCCUUUGCUGCCGGAUGCUCGCCUGAAAAGUAUUGUAUUACCGCGGGUCUUGCGCAGCACGAAGCGCCUUGAUUUUGCGGCUGUAACCGUCUGUUUGACCUCGGAUCAGGUAGGGAUACCCGCUGAACUUAA
rnacentral:misc_RNA from 1 species